CCUACGGGAGGCAGCAGUGAGGAAUAUUGGUCAAUGGGCGGGAGCCUGAACCAGCCAAGCCGCGUGAGGGAAGAAGGUACAGCGUAUCGUAAACCUCUUUUGUCAGGGAACAAAGGCGGGGACUAGUCCCCGGAUGAGGGUACCUGAAGAAAAAGCAUCGGCUAACUCCGUGCCAGCAGCCGCGGUAAUACGGAGGAAGCGAGCGUUAUCCGGAUUUAUUGGGUUUAACGGGUGCGCAGGCGGCCUGUUAAGUCAGCGGUAAAAGCCCGGGGCUCAACCCCGGAGAGCCGUUGAAACUGGCGGGCUGGAGUUGGAGAGAAGUACGCGGAAUGCGCGGUGUAGCGGUGAAAUGCUUAGAUAUCGCGCAGAACCCCGAUUGCGAAGGCAGCGUACCGGCUCCAAACUGACGCUGAGGCACGAAAGCGUGGGUAGCGAACAGGAUUAGAUACCCCGGUAGUC
rnacentral:rRNA from 1 species